rnacentral:rRNA from 1 species
UACGUAGGGACCGAGCGUUGUCCGGAAUCAUUGGGCGUAAAGAGCGUGUAGGCGGCCACUUAAGUCCUGCGUGAAAUCUUGCGGCUCAACCGCAAGCGGUCGUGGGAAACUGGGUGGCUAGAGUGCGGGAGAGGAGAGUGGAAUUCCUGGUGUAGCGGUGGAAUGCGCAGAUAUCAGGAAGAACACCCGUGGCGAAGGCGGCUCUCUGGAACGCAACUGACGCUGAGAGACGAAAGCUAGGGGAGCGAAUGGG